rnacentral:rRNA from 1 species
CUAUGGGACUCGGAGGGACAUUACCGAGUUUACAACUCCCAAACCCCUGUGAACAUACCACUUGUUGCCUCGGCGGAUCAGCCCGCUCCCGGUAAAACGGGACGGCCCGCCAGAGGACCCCUAAACUCUGUUUCUAUAUGUAACUUCUGAGUAAAACCAUAAAUAAAUCAAAACUUUCAACAACGGAUCUCUUGGUUCUGGCAUCGAUGAAGAACGCAGCAAAAUGCGAUAAGUAAUGUGAAUUGCAAAAUUCAGUGAAUCAUCGAAUCUUUGAACGCACAUUGCGCCCGCCAGUAUUCUGGCGGGCAUGCCUGUUCGAGCGUCAUUUCAACCCUCAAGCACAGCUUGGUGUUGGGACUCGCGUUAAUUCGCGUUCCCCAAAUUGAUUGGCGGUCACGUCGAGCUUCCAUAGCGUAGUAGUAAAACCCUCGUUACUGGUAAUCGUCGCGGCCACGCCGUUAAACCCCAACUUCUGAAUGUUGACCUCGGAUCAGGUAGGAAUACCCGCUGAACUUAAGCAUAUCAAAAGCCGGGAGGA